rnacentral:rRNA from 1 species
AACCUGCCUGUAAGACUGGGAUAACUCCGGGAAACCGGGGCUAAUACCGGAUGGUUGUUUGAACCGCAUGGUUCAAACAUAAAAGGUGGCUUCGGCUACCACUUACAGAUGGACCCGCGGCGCAUUAGCUAGUUGGUGAGGUAACGGCUCACCAAGGCAACGAUGCGUAGCCGACCUGAGAGGGUGAUCGGCCACACUGGGACUGAGACACGGCCCAGACUCCUACGGGAGGCAGCAGUAGGGAAUCUUCCGCAAUGGACGAAAGUCUGACGGAGCAACGCCGCGUGAGUGAUGAAGGUUUUCGGAUCGUAAAGCUCUGUUGUUAGGGAAGAACAAGUACCGUUCGAAUAGGGCGGUACCUUGACGGUACCUAACCAGAAAGCCACGGCUAACUACGUGCCAGCAGCCGCGGUAAUACGUAGGUGGCAAGCGUUGUCCGGAAUUAUUGGGCGUAAAGGGCUCGCAGGCGGUUUCUUAAGUCUGAUGUGAAAGCCCCCGGCUCAACCGGGGAGGGUCAUUGGAAACUGGGGAACUUGAGUGCAGAAGAGGAGAGUGGAAUUCCACGUGUAGCGGUGAAAUGCGUAGAGAUGUGGAGGAACACCAGUGGCGAAGGCGACUCUCUGGUCUGUAACUGACGCUGAGGAGCGAAAGCGUGGGGAGCGAACAGGAUUAGAUACCCUGGUAGUCCACGCCGUAAACGAUGAGUGCUAAGUGUUAGGGGGUUUCCGCCCCUUAGUGCUGCAGCUAACGCAUUAAGCACUCCGCCUGGGGAG